CCUACGGGAGGCAGCAGUGAGGAAUAUUGGUCCAUGGGCGGAAGCCUGAACCAGCCAAGUCGCGUGAGGGAUUAAGGCCCUGCGGGUCGUAAACCUCUUUUGCCGGGGAGCAGAGGUCCGGACGUGUCCGGGCCGGGAGAGUACCCGGAGAAAAAGCAUCGGCUAACUCCGUGCCAGCAGCCGCGGUAAUACGGAGGAUGCGAGCGUUAGCCGGAUUUAUUGGGUUUAAAGGGUGCGUAGGCGGGCAUUUAAGGCGGCGGUGAAAUGUCGGGGCUCAACCCCGGCCUGCCGUCGGAACCGGGUGCCUUGAGUGGGCGAGAGGUAUGCGGAAUGCGUGGUGUAGCGGUGAAAUGCAUAGAUAUCACGCAGAACCCCGAUUGCGAAGGCAGCAUACCGGCGCCCUACUGACGCUGAGGCACGAAAGUGCGGGUAUCGAACAGGAUUAGAUACCCUGGUAGUC
rnacentral:rRNA from 1 species